UACAGAGGGUGCGAGCGUUAAUCGGAAUUACUGGGCGUAAAGCGCGCGUAGGCGGUUUGAUCAGUCGGAUGUGAAAUCCCCGGGCUUAACCUGGGAAUUGCAUUCGAUACUGUCAAGCUGGAGUAUGGUAGAGGUGAGUGGAAUUCCUGGUGUAGCGGUGAAAUGCGUAGAUAUCAGGAGGAACAUCAGUGGCGAAGGCGACUCACUGGACCAAUACUGACGCUGAGGUGCGAAAGCGUGGGGAGCAAACAGGAUUAGAUACCCCCGUA
rnacentral:rRNA from 1 species